rnacentral:rRNA from 1 species
UGCAUGGCUGUCGUCAGCUCGUGUCGUGAGAUGUGGUUAGUCCGCAACGAGCGCAACCCUUGUCUUUAAUUGCCAUCAUUCAGUUGGGCACUUUAAGAGACUGCCGGUGUUAAACCGGAGGAAGGUGGGGAUGACGUCAAGUCCUCAUGGCCUUUAUGCCCAGGGCUACACACGUGCUACAAUGGGUGGUACAAAGAGAUGCAAUCUCGCAAGAGCAAGCAAACCUCAAAAAGCCAUCCUCAGUUCGGAUUGGAGUCUGCAACUCGACUCCAUGAAGUCGGAAUCGCUGGUAAUCGCGGAUCAGCACGCCGCGGUGAAUACGUUCCCGGGCCUU